AAGUGCAUCUGCCCUAAACAUAGAGGAGAUCUGCGUGAUGUGGGCCCUCCAGCCAGGCACAAGGGGAGAAGCUGGUGGAGUUCCUGGGAUCAGCCUUCCAGGUUAGAACCAUCCCUUACUGUACGACCUGCCUGUGCUCCUACCAGGACUUCACCACUGCUGCACAGUUCCUGGACCAACUCUUCAGUAGACCAAUGCAUCCAACGCCGGCCUCAAUUCAGGGUGAGUCAGUGCGUCUGUCCAGCCUACUUCUACAGUUCCUCCGACUGCUCUCUCUACGACUCAGGUCUCCAUGAAGCCCAGGCACCUGGCCGAGGGAACCCUUCUCGUGCCCCGCAGCUAUUGGAAGACGCUCCUCUAGCCAGUUGGUGGCUUUACUCUCGAAAAGAAGGAACGUAUGCAGACUUUCACCAAGCAAAAGGUCACCAAAUUGUUCUGCAAGGAGGAUAUCAGCCCCUCAGAAUCAGUGACCCUUCCCUGGAGGAAUAC